UUAUGGCUCAGGAUGAACGCUGGCGGCGUGCCUAAUACAUGCAAGUCGAACGGGGGUUGAAGGGAGCUUGCUACCUAACGACCGUAGUGGCGAACGGGUGAGUAACACGUAGGUAACCUGCCUUAAGCUUGGGAUACCCAGAGGAAACUUUGGCUAAUACCGGAUAACAACAGAAGAGGCAUCUCUUCAGUUUGAAAGGCCCUUUACGGGGUCACUUAAGGAUGGACCUGCGGCGCAUUAGCUAGUUGGUGAGAUAACAGCCCACCAAGGCGAGGAUGCGUAGCCGACCUGAGAGGGUGAUCGGCCACAUUGGAACUGAGACACGGUCCAAACUCCUACGGGAGGCAGCAGUAAGGAGUUUUCGGCAAUGGGGGAAACCCUGACCGAGCAACGCCGCGUGAGUUGAUGACGGCCCUAUGGGUUGUAAAGCUCUGUUGUAAGGGACGAAUGAUUCGCUUAGGAAAUGAAGCGGAUUUGACGGUACCUUACCAGAAAGCCACGGCUAACUACGUGCCAGCCGCCGC
rnacentral:rRNA from 1 species